UCCUGGUGGCUCAGAUGGUAAAGCAUCUGCCUGCAAUGCAGGAGACCUGGGUUCGAUCCCUGGGUUGGGAA
rnacentral:tRNA from 1 species